rnacentral:rRNA from 1 species
UGGGGAAUUUUGGACAAUGGGCGAAAGCCUGAUCCAGCAAUGCCGCGUGUGUGAAGAAGGCCUUCGGGUUGUAAAGCACUUUUGUCCGGAAAGAAAUGGCUCUGGUUAAUACCUGGGGUCGAUGACGGUACCGGAAGAAUAAGGACCGGCUAACUACGUGCCAGCAGCCGCGGUAAUACGUAGGGUCCAAGCGUUAAUCGGAAUUACUGGGCGUAAAGCGUGCGCAGGCGGUUGUGCAAGACCGAUGUGAAAUCCCCGAGCUUAACUUGGGAAUUGCAUUGGUGACUGCACGGCUAGAGUGUGUCAGAGGGGGGUUAGAAUUCCACGUGUAGCAGUGAAAUGCGUAGAGAUGUGGAGGAAUACCGAUGGCGAAGGCAGCCCCCUGGGAUAACACUGACGCUCAUGCACGAAAGCGUGGGGAGCAAACAGGAUUAGAUACCCUGGUAGUCCACGCCCUAAACGAUGUCAACUAGUUGUUGGGGAUUCAUUUCCUUAGUAACGUAGCUAACGCGUGAAGUUGACCGCCUGGGGAGUACGGUCGCAAGAUUAAAA